AUCUAGCGGGAGAGACGGGAUAACCUGUCCGAGAUUAUAGCGCCGCUAGGACUCCGCCGAAAAAUCACUUAAAAAAUUGCCAAAAAUUACUUCGUGCAAAGGGCAGCCCGCGGAGCUUCACCAGGGUUGGCGCAGACGGUUUUGACCUUUAGGAGAGAGCCAAUUCUGGAGAACAACCUAACUUCUCUGAUUGAACACUCACAUAAUGCAUUGGAACAUGAUAGGAGAUUAAGGUUUAAUAAAGAUAAAAUGAAGACCAUAAUAAAAUAGUCCCCUACUUAGCCCAGCAAUUCUUACCUUUCUUACCUACUGGAUGGAAGAUGUCUUUAGAAAGGCAUACCGCAAGGAAUGAACUGCUGUCUGUAAAUUUUGCUUUUACCAAGGUAAAGACCAAAUUUUAUGAAUUCACUUUGUGUUUAUAAAAGGAAAAAAAAAACUUUUAUAUAUUUAAUACAUUCAAAAAUUUGAUUAAAUAUUUAACUUUAUUGGCUUAUUAAGUUGACAAAGGGGGAGGAAAUGCUUAGCUUUUCCUCAUAUUACACAUCUUUGUGUUCCUAACCUAUAGCAAUAUGCUUAGCACGUAGUAGGCUUUCCUUAAACAUUUGAUGUAGAAAUAAAUUUUACUAUUCUACUUAAAAGCUUCUAAGAAAUAGCUAUUUAUGUAUACUUUGUCCGUUAUAAUCUUUAUUGGUUUCUUAAUGUAUUCUCUUCUAAAAGAAAAAAAAUUUUUGUAUCUUCAGGUGCUAAUGUGUGUUUAAAAAACAAAACCUUGGAGUAAAGUAGCAGCACAUAAUGGUUUGUGGAUUUUGAAAAGGUGCAGGCCAUAUUGUGCUGCCUCAAAAAUACAAGGAUCUGAUCUUCUGCAGAAAAUAUAUUUUUUAUUCAUAGCUCUUAUGAUAGUGAUGUCAGCAGUGCCUUAGCAGCACGUAAAUAUUGGCGUUAAGAUUCUAAAAUUAUCUCCAGUAUUAACUGUGCUGCUGAAGUAAGGCUGGCCAUGUUCUACAGUCUAAUAUGUUUUAUAUUUUAAUAUGUCUUAAUAUGUAUUAACAUCAUUGAUAUAUCUUCAGUUUUAUUGAUAAUGUAUUUUCAAUAUUAUUGAGAAUCUUGUUAUCUUUAGUAUGAUUCUAUAAAAAUAAGUAGUAACUUUUAAGAUGUAUUUGUAUUAACAUGGUUGUGGGGUGCCUGGCUGGCCCAGUCAGUAGAGUGUGUAAUGCUUGCUCUCGGAAUUGUAAGUUCAAGUACCACAUUGCGUGUAGAGAUUACUUAAAAUCUGUAAAAAAAAAAAAAAAAUAAUGUAAGUGCAAUUUAAUAAUAGUGUUGAAUGCCAUCAAGAGUUUAUUGAAAGAGCUUGUACAGAACCAAUUUACUUUAAUGUAUAUUUAUAUUCAUUGUAAAUACUGAAAUUUUUAAAUACUCAUUUUUCCUUUGUUUCUCCAGUAAAAUGAAGUUUAAAAAUAUUUGCUUAUUUCACAGAAAAGUGUGCAUUAUAAAAUAUACAUUCUGAACAGAACUUACAAGACAAUUUUUAGUAAUGUUUCUAAAUAUUUCAUUAGAAGGGGGAAAUUUCAAAACGUGUGAAUUAAAUCCCUGAAAUCCUGGGUCUCAAAAUGCUCUUAAUCAUAAACUCAAAGGUAGGAAAGGCCUUACAGAUGACCAACCUAUUUUUUGGGUGGCUCAGGAAACAAAUUCAAAUUAGGUAAUUUGCCCCACAUGACAGAUUAGAAUCUUAAUCCUAUGCCUUCUGACUUUACACUAUCAUUGUUUUAUCUUGUUUCUAUUAAAUCCUUAGCUGAAGAUUUUUGACAAGUUGAAAAUGUGGCUUUGUUUGCUUUUGUAUAGUCAAUAUUUAACUUCACAGUGAAAGUAAAAAUUAUUAUUAUAGUUACUAAUUUUAUAGAUGUAACAGUUGAAAUUUUUAAUUUAAGAUUUAAAGAAAAAUGUUUUCUUUACCUUCUGUUUCUUAUUUAUUGUUUUAUUAAGUCAUUAAACUAAAAAUUAAUGUUCAGGACAAGACAGGUGUUUUUGUGUAGCAUAUCACACUUUUGGUCUUUUCUACAAGGAAUAGCUUACCCUUUUCAAUUGCAGCCAAACAGGAAAUCUACAAAAUAAAAGCACUUCUUAACAAAUCAUUUCCAAUUAUUAUUGUCUUUUAGAAACCCUAAAAGUACUUCAGAUGUAAUUUAAGGAAUUGUAAUCAAGGAUCUUCUUUUUAAAGUCUAAUGUGAAGGUAAAGAAAAUAUGUAAGGCAAAGCUCUCAUUUUUAAAAACAAUUUUUCCCCAGCAAAAAUUUUUUUCCCCAAAUUAGGAAGCAGUAUACCAUAUAUACGGUAGCUAGAAUUAAAUGCCAGCUUUUACAUUAAGUACAAUUAAGCACUAUUGACUUGGUGCUUUGAAAAAUCAUUCAUCAAGCUGUUCACCUCUUUUCCUUUAUUUCAUUUCAACUAUUUUAUGAAAGACUAACAAAUAUAACUUUUGAUUCCACUGAAAGUACUCCAAGAUUUAACAUCUAGAUUCUUAGAAAUAUUUAUUAAAUGAAUUACAAAGUUUGUCCACUAUUUUCCAGAAUAACUCAGGAAUUAGAUACCUUUUUUCCUGUUUUUGUUUUUCUAAGUAUAUUAUGUUUAGUCUAAUCUGCCUUCUAAAUGAAAGAGAGAAAACCUGGAUUUUACAUUUACUAGGUGAAUUUUUAUAUCUAGGUCCUCCAGAUGUGAAGAAGGAACACUUGGGGCUAUUAUUGCUAAAUGAAAACUUUUCUUGUUUUAAUCCUGAGAAUAGAUUAAAGGAAAAUGAAAAUAUUGGUAAAGUGAGAAACUAUAGAAAAACUGUUAUAAUGAAAUUUAUCAUAACAGCAUUCAGCUUCUUUCCAGUCUCUUAAGAGGAAGUAGCCUGUCAGUACCUAAUGAAACACACACAUUUAGGUAAUUCAGAACUGGAAGUUGUAUUUGUACGAGUUAAUACACUUUAUCUUUGUGUAAUUUUGAACACAUUAAAAGCAAAUAGUAAAAUAAAAGUUGUACCUUUUAAUGUUAACCUUAAUUUGACUAUUUUUACAAAGAAAAAAUAAGUAUAUACAGGUGUGUGUUUUCAUUUUUUCCAUCAUCUUUGGGAAAAAAAAUGCUCAUCUUCUUUCAUUCAGGUUUCUUUUUAAGUUGAUGCCAAAUAAUUUCAGUAUUUAGCGUCUUAAAUCUGUUACUUGGAAUAUGGAUUGAGUUUGGAGCUAACUCAGAGGACUCAGGCAAGUAUUCAGGAGGUAGCAAGAGGAAUAUUGUAAUAGGUGAAUAACUCAGUUCACAUCCUGUAUUUAAAGGCAGAUCUCUUAAGGUCACACAUAUUGAUAUGUGAUAGUAAAUAUGAAAAUUUGGCCUUAGACUUAAUUCUGUACUCAACAAUGAAGAUUUUCUUCAAUCAAUUAUAUAUCCUUUUGGUUGUUAGAGAAUUACAUGUUGUUUUUAAGCCACUAAGUGUCAUUAUGGGUAUAUGCCCAGGUUAGCUCUAUUGGAUUAGCAAGAUUAUGCUUGCAUAAACUGUGAUCUCUGUUAAUGAUUUAUCAAUUUAGAAAUUGACAUUCUAAAUCAAUUUUUUUUCCUUUUACAGGUGGAUAUUACUAUCCCUUAUUCUUCGAAAAAGUUUUAUUCUCAGUGUUGUUUCUCAUUGAGUAUUAACAAAAAGAAAAAUUAAUGUUCCAAACUUUUCAGAUAGAUUUGGUCCUAGCAUGUAUUUUGAUAGCACUACUACGUCCCCUCCAAAAGGUGAGAACUGACUCUUCCAUCUGUACCUGGAUCAUGUGGAGAAAGGACUGAGAAUGGAAGCAGAAAACAGACAUUGUCCAUGUAGAGCAGACUGCCUGACAACAGCUCACUCUAAUAAAGGGCAAUAAAUGCCACACGGGAUGAUCCUCUCAUCACAAAACUUUACAUCUGACUUAUAUGCCUGGUCUGAUAACUUCUAUCUUUUUAUGACUCCUAAAUUGUGGAGAGAGAGAGCACAAGCAUGAGCCUGGGAGGGGCAGAGAGAAAGGGAGAGAGAGAAUCCCAAGCAGUCUCUGGGCUGAUAUGGGGCUCAAACUCAACAAACCGUGAGAUCAUGACCUGGGCCGAAAUCAAGAAUUGGACGCUUAAACCAACUGAGCCACCCAGGCGCCUGGAAGGCCUAAUAAUUCUUGAAGUGCAGUUCUGUGGCAAAGCUGGUAAGUAAUGAUGACUUUUACUAGGUCAUUGGUAUUCCAGAAAUCUAAGUAUUUUAGUAUUAUGUUUUCACAUUAACUCUUUAUUUCUUGAACUUUGUUUGAAAUACUAAGUUUGAUGUCACAUUGUUCUCUUCCAUGAGUUCUUUGGCUCUCUCAAAGUAACAAAAUGUCCUAAAUUUAUUUUUAAAAAUUUCCUCAUAGUGGCUCGUCUGCAUUGCUAAACUUACUGUUAACAGAGUCAACUUCCCCUGCACAGAGGAAAAAUAACAGUAGAAUAUGGGAGAUUUGGAGUGCUCUAAUAAAUAUUUUGUCAUCCCAGCAAGGUUUCCGGUGAUGUGACUAUUUCUAUUAUUUGUGAUAGAGAACCAGUACAAAAACUUAUAAAGCAAAACUGAAGUUUGUCAGAUGUAUACAAUAUAUAAGACAAAUUAGGAAUAGCUUAUGAUUCCCUAAACCAUAUAUUAUUUCUCUAGCUCCUUUCCCAUGACCAUUUUAUGUUAUUUGGGGCUCCUGAUUUCAGAUAUAUUUUCAAAGCAGCCCAAAUUAAUUCCAAUUUUAUCAUACCUAAGAACUCUUUAUAGUUAUGACUUGUAUAUUAAAUUCAAGAGUAAAAUUCAACAUUUUACUCUUCAGAAAAUUUUUUUAGGGACAACUUCCAAUCACUUAUAAGGCAAAUUACUGAGUUUCAAGAAUAAGCUCUUUAGUGCCUUGUCAGAAAUGAAACUGUGGGUGGAAAGAUAAAACACACAUAACAGAAUCGGGAGAACAGGGAAGGCCCAACUACUGAUGGUACUGGUCAUUAAGAAUGACAGACCUUGGGGCACCUGGAUGGCUCAGUUGAUUAAGCAUUCAACUUCAGCUCAAGUCACGAUCUCCCCGUUUGUGAGUUCAAGCCCUGCGUUCGAGCCCCCAGAGCCUAUUCGAUUUCUGUAUGUCCCUCUCUCUCUGCCCCUCCCCACCUUCUCAAAACUAAAAAAUAAACAUUAAAAAAAAAAGAAUGACAGACCUUAAUGUGUCAUUGUGAUGAUUCAUCUUUGUAUAUAUGAGAUGGAUUGAUAGGUGUAUAUGAUUUAAUAGAACAAGGUUUUCAGCAUGGUUGGCCAAGACCAGCUUCUGCCAUCAUUUUCUUAUAAUUUAAAAUGGCCUGGGUGGCUCAGUUGGUUGAGCAGCUGACUUUGGCUCAGGUCAUGAUCUUAACGGUGUGUGAGCUCAAGCCCUGCAUCAGGCUCUCUGCUGUCAACGCAGAGCCUGCUUCAGAUCCUCUGUCCCCUUCUCUCUCUGCCCCUCCCCCGCUCGUGCUCUCUCAAAAUAAGUAAACAUUAAAAAUUUUUUUAAAUAAAACUGACAAAUUCAUCCAGUCCAGAAGUUAAGAGUUAAGUGGUGUACCCAUAUGAAAAUGUUAAAGCUUUUUUUUUUUCUAAAGCAGGCAAGAGUUUUUAAUUUGCAUUGCAUCUGAUAUAUCCCUGUUUUCUUCAAACUACAGUUGCCUUGUCCCCCUUUCUGAAACAAGACUCAAUGUUUUGCAUGUCUUGAUAUCCCAGUGAUAGUGUCCCACUCUAUUUUAGAGUGAAUACGAGAGGCUUACUGAGAUGAUCUUGACAGAUGUGUCUCCAGAUGAGAUAAUCUCUAAAGUAUUUACUAAAAUAAGAAACUCAGUCUACUCUGAAACUACACUUUCCUUAAUAAUAUAUAUAUUUUUAAUUGUGGUAAUCUUUCUCCUUCCACAAACCUCUGCAUUGUGAACUCAUAACUUUUGAGAAACUAAUAAAAAGCUUGUCUUUCUAAUUAAA